UUUUUUUAGAGUUUGAUCCUAGCUCAGGAUGAACGCUGGCGGCGUGGAUAAGGCAUGCAAGUCAAACGGCCCGCAAGGGCAGUGGCGAACGAGGUAGUAACACGUAGGUACGCACCCCAAAGUCAGGAAUAACUAGUCGAAAGAUUAGCUAAUACUUGAUGGUCUCGAAAGAGUAAAGAUUUAUC
rnacentral:rRNA from 1 species